AGAGUUUGUAUCCUGGCUCAGGAUGAGCGGCUGGCGCGUGCUACACAUGCAAGUCGAGCGAAGCACUUUGUUGAACUUUUCGGAGGGACGAGGAAGUGACUGAGCGGCGACGGGUGAGUAACGCGUGGGCAACCUGCCUUACACAGGGGGAGUAACAGUUAGAAAUGACUGCUAAUACCGCAUAAGACCACAUUGCCGCAUGGCAGGGUGGUAAAAACUCCGGUGGUGUAAGAUGGGGCCCGCGUCUGGAUUAGGUAGUUGGCAGGGUAGAGGCCUACCAAGCCUACGAUCAGUAGCCGGCCUGAGAGGGUGGACGGCCACAUUGGGACUGAGACACGGCCCAAACUCCUACGGGAGGCAGCAGCGGGGAAUAUUGCACAAUGGGGGAAACCCUGAUGCAGCGACGCCGCGUGAGUGAGGAAGUAUUUCGGUAUGUAAAGCUCUAUCAGCAGGGAAGAAAAUGACGGUACCUGACUAAGAAGCCCCGGCUAACUACGUG
rnacentral:rRNA from 1 species